CAACCAGACCAGACGAGACCAGCUGCUACGGAUAAGGAGUUAAGGACAGUGAUCACUCCUCUCUCUCUCACUCCCUGUCUCCGUGGGGCUAGAUUUUUUGGGAUUUAGGGUUUUAGGCUAUAUUCACCCCCACCCCUCCUGCUCUCUUCAAUGGCGGUUUCUUCUCUCGGUACUUUCGGCUCCGCCCCUCCUUGUUUUCGGCUCCAUGUGGGAAUGCCUCUCUCGAACCGUCUAAGAGCGUGGAUUGGAUUGCAAAGAGGCAGAAGUACUAGGGGAGGAAGAAAAGGAAGAGCGACGCGGCUCUUUGUUCUGUCGUCUCAUUCCAACGCGAAGCUUCUCAAGUCCAAUCGCCGCUCUCGCUACGGCAAGGCACUGUCCCCUUACGACGGCGUCGACGGCGUCGAAGACGACGAUUGGUUUUCCUCUGAGGAUGAGUUUGCAGAUGAAGAAGCCUUUGAUUCUGAUAAACAGGGAUUUAAAUCACGGAAACCAAGAAACAAUAACCAAGUUAGGCACAGGCUUUCAGAAGACUCGUUACAGUCGAAAACUGCAGGCAGUUUUCAUUCUACAUCAAGCAGACAAAAUAAUAUUGGCUCCUUCCAUGGUGAUUGUGGAGGAAAGCUGGAGGCUGGGCAAUCUGCGAAGGACAGAUUUUGCAAUCUGUCAGAAGAACUUGAUAUAGAUGAGAAAUGGUUUCCACUUCUCGAUUACUUGAGCACUUUUGGACUUAAGGAGUCGCACUUCAUCCAAAUAUAUGAGAGGCACAUGCCUUCCCUUCAGAUAAAUGUGGGUUCUGCACGGGAAAGGUUGGAGUUCUUGUUGAGUGUUGGUGUCAAACAUAAAGACAUCAGAAAGAUACUAUUAAGGCAACCACAAAUCUUAGGGUACACAGUGGAGAACAAUCUGAAAUCUCAUGUUGCAUUUUUGGGGAGUUUGGGUAUUCCAGAUUCUAGAAUAGGGCAGAUAAUCACUGUUACUCCAUCUCUGUUUUCUUAUAGUGUGGAGAAUUCUUUGAAACCCACAGUGAGGUACUUGCUUGAAGAGGUUGGCAUUAAGAAGAGUGAAUUAAGUAAAGUUGUGCAGCUUAGCCCUCAAAUCCUGGUUCAGAGGAUUGAUAGUUCAUGGACAACUCGUUUCAAUUUUCUUACAAAGGAAUUGGGGGCACCCAGAGAUAGUAUAGUGAAGAUGGUCACCAAACACCCUCAACUACUUCACUACAGCAUAGAGGAUGGUUUACUGCCAAGAAUCAAUUUUCUAAGGAGUAUUGGGAUGCGUAAUUCCGACAUUUUGAAAGUGUUGACUAGCCUUAGCCAGGUAUUUUCUCUAUCACUGGAAGGAAAUCUGAAACCCAAGUAUAUGUACUUGGUCAACGAGCUUCAAAAUGAGGUGCGGUCCUUGGCCAAAUAUCCUACAUACCUAAGUUUGUCUCUUGACCAGAGAAUCCGUCCGCGCCAUAGGUUUCUUGUUUCCCUAAAGAAAGCUCCGAAAGGGCCUUUUCCUCUCAGUUCACUGGUUCCAUCUGAUGAAAGCUUCUGUCAACAAUGGGCUGGUACUAGCUUAGAUAAAUAUUUGGCAUUUCGUCAACGGUUACUGCUUAAAGAGUUUGCAGACAAAUAUAAACGUUGAUAAUGAUACGUGACUUUAAAAUUCAUUGGGGAUUCAUAAAAGCAGAUAAGUGGACAGGUAGAAUGGUCUUGUCAGAGAACUUGUUGCAACUGAUAUGCAUGUCUUCCCGGUAAUUAAUACUAAUAACAUUUGACAGUAAAGUGAAGAUAUGUCCAUAAUGGCUCUGAGAUCCUGUGACGCAAGCCCCUCUAGGAACUGCUCGAGUUCUGUGGUAUGGUGCCUACCGCAAGCAUGCAUAGAAAAUUGGAAAAGAAAAAUGAGAUAAUUCUUACAUUGAGCAGGCGCUAUUUAUAUGAUUGCAUGGCUUUACAUCAUCCAUGAACUCUGAAAAAGAAAAGAAUAAGAAGAAGAAAGUUAAUGAACUGUUGAAAUGCAUAAAUCAUAAGGGGUUUGAAGUCGGAGGAUACUGAAAACUUGAUGCAAAUUGUCUUGAUGAGGCAUCUCCCUCUAAUCUCACAAGUGAAGGUGGUUAUGACUGUCUUAAUGUUUUAUUUAACCCAUUGCAGGCUUGUGUUUUGACUGCAAUCUGUCAACAGAAUGCUCUGAAGUAGCUGGCUGGGAUCUUUCUGGUAAAAGACCAAGUGAGAACCUUUCUUUUUUCAGACCUUAAUGCUGCAUAACUGACACAAGGUUUUCUUUCAUUUGCUGACUUACACUUGGCAAGAAAUUUGUGUAGUUGCGAUGUAAAAUACUGUUGAUUAUGUUUUCUUGUACAUGCACAAAAUAUUAUAAGUUUUAUUUGUUUUAUAUCUAGCAGUCUUCUUACCUUGCUACCAA